rnacentral:rRNA from 1 species
CAAAGUUGGAACCUGUUUGGCUUAGCUAAACCGGAUUGUAAACUGUAGAAGUGUUUUCCAGACACGCCUGGUAAAAAAGUCCUUUGGAACAGGGCAUCAUAGAGGGUGAGAAUCCCGUCAUUGGCCAGAGCUGUUGUCUUUUGUGAUACAUUUUCAAAGAGUCAGGUUGUUUGGGAAUGCAGCCUAAAUUGGGUGGUAAAUCUCACCUAAAGCUAAAUAUUUGCGAGAGACCGAUAGCGAACAAGUACCGUGAGGGAAAGAUGAAAAGAACUUUGAAAAGAGAGUUAAACAGUAUGUGAAAUUGUUAAAAGGGAACCGUUUGGAGCCAG